GACGAACGCUGGCGGCGUGCUUAACACAUGCAAGUCGAACGGAAAGGCUCCAGCUUGCUGGAGUACUCGAGUGGCGAACGGGUGAGUAACACGUGGGUAAUCUGCCCUGCACUCUGGGAUAAGCCUGGGAAACUGGGUCUAAUACUGGAUAUGACCUUUCUCCUUAUGGGGUUUGGUGGAAAGUUUUUCGGUGUAGGAUGAGCCCGCGGCCUAUCAGCUUGUUGGUGGGGUGAUGGCCUACCAAGGCGACGACGGGUAGCCGGCCUGAGAGGGUGAUCGGCCACAUUGGGACUGAGAUACGGCCCAGACUCCUACGGGAGGCAGCAGUGGGGAAUAUUGCACAAUGGGCGGAAGCCUGAUGCAGCGACGCCGCGUGAGGGAUGACGGCCUUCGGGUUGUAAACCUAUUUCAGCAGGGACGAAGAGUAAGUGACGGUACCUGAAGAAGAAGCACCGGCUAACUAUGUG
rnacentral:rRNA from 1 species